rnacentral:rRNA from 1 species
AGAGUUUGAUCAUGGCUCAGGAUGAACGCUAGCUACAGGCUUAACACAUGCAAGUCGAGGGGAAACGACAUCGAAAGCUUGCUUUUGAUGGGCGUCGACCGGCGCACGGGUGAGUGACGCGUAUCCAACCUGCCCAUCACUUGGGGAUAACCUUGCGAAAGUAAGACUAAUACCCAAUGACGUCUCUAGAAGACAUCUGAAAGAGAUUAAAGAUUUAUCGGUGAUGGAUGGGGAUGCGUCUGAUUAGCUUGUUGGCGGGGUAACGCCACCAAGGCGACGAUCAGUAGGGGUUCUGAGAGGAAGGUCCCCCANAUUGGAACUGAGACACGGUCCAAACUCCUACGGGAGGCA